GACGAACGCUGGCGGCGUGCUUAACACAUGCAAGUCGAACGGAAAGACCCUGCUUUUGUGGGGUGCUCGAGUGGCGAACGGGUGAGUAACACGUGAGUAACCUGCCCUUGACUUUGGGAUAACUUCAGGAAACUGGGGCUAAUACCGGAUAGGAGCUCCUGCUGCAUGGUGGGGGUUGGAAAGUUUCGGCGGUUGGGGAUGGACUCGCGGCUUAUCAGCUUGUUGGUGGGGUAGUGGCUUACCAAGGCUUUGACGGGUAGCCGGCCUGAGAGGGUGACCGGCCACAUUGGGACUGGGAUACGGCCCAGACUCCUACGGGAGGCAGCAGUGGGGAAUAUUGCACAAUGGGCGGAAGCCUGAUGCAGCCACGCCGCGUGCGGGAUGACGGCCUUCGGGUUGUAAACCGCCUUCGCCUGUGACGAAGCGUGAGUGACGGUAAUGGGUAAAGAAGCACCGGCUAACUACGUG
rnacentral:rRNA from 1 species